rnacentral:rRNA from 1 species
AUUGAACGCUGGCGGCAUGCCUUACACAUGCAAGUCGAACGGCAGCACGGGAGCAAUCCUGGUGGCGAGUGGCGAACGGGUGAGUAAUAUAUCGGAACGUGCCCAGUCGUGGGGGAUAACGUAGCGAAAGCUACGCUAAUACCGCAUACGAUCUAUGGAUGAAAGCGGGGGAUCGCAAGACCUCGCGCGAUUGGAGCGGCCGAUAUCAGAUUAGGUAGUUGGUGGGGUAAAAGCCUACCAAGCCUUCGAUCUGUAGCUGGUCUGAGAGGACGACCAGCCACACUGGAACUGAGACACGGUCCAGACUCCUACGGGAGGCAGCAGUGGGGAAUUUUGGACAAUGGGCGCAAGCCUGAUCCAGCAAUGCCGCGUGCAGGAUGAAGGCCUUCGGUUGGUAAACUGUCUUUUGUUACGGAACGAAACGGUUACGUCUCUAAUAC